GGGUAUAAAGAUUGCUACAAAAUUAAAGGGAAUUUCUUACAAAAGUGCUCCUCCCUCGGAAACUAAUCUCAGUCUUAUUUUAAUUUUGCUGAGUAAAAGUUGUAAGCUGUGGACAGGAUGCGACAAAUUCUGGUCAUUUUAAUAUUUGGGAUAGCCCUACAAAUGAAUAAUGUUGUUAGUUCACAAGACCCAACCUGCUCUGAUGAAUUCAAAAGAAUAACCGAGUUUCUGGAGAGACAGCUUCAAUCAUUUGGCGUAGCCUUGAACGAGAGAUUGACGAGUUUUGAAAACCGACUAACACAAUCGGAAUGUACAAAGAAAUCAACUAUAUACGAUGAAGGAUCCCAGAAUUUUAAUUAUGGCUACCGUGUGAGGAGUAUAAUCGAUGACUUAUUCGAGAUUUACGAUGCGAGAAUGAGGGAAAGGGAGAGUAUUUCAGAUACCAAUAAUGAACAAAAUGAGCGCCUAGAAUUGAAAAGGACCACGGAAAAUCAAAAAAGUAUACAAAAUCGAGUAAGAGAUACUUGGGACGACAUUCACAUACUCGGCGAAAUUUCUGGGAUUGAAAAUACAGUUGAUUCUGUAUUCAGGAUUACCGAAAAUAUAAAUAAUAAUGCGAAGGGAACUGAAGAAAGUACUACAGAGAACACAUCUAGUACUGACAGCUCUUCUAGUGACAGUACUAAAGUGGUCUGGAUUCCUUUAGAGCAAUAUAUAGCUUUGAAAAACAGAGUUAUGAUGGAAAAUAAUGAAGAAAGUACUACGACUGACAAGUUUUCAACUGACAGUACUACUGAAACGGCCUGGAUUCCUAAACAAAUGAAUAUGGAUGUCUUAAUAGAGCAAUUUUUAGCUUGGAAAAACAGAACUAAUAAGGAAAAUAUUGAGGAAAGAACUUCGGAAAAUAUUUUCACUGGAGAUGAAUUUACUGACAGUACCUUUUCUGAAAGAAUUUCUCACAACGGCGAAGUGGAAUCAAAAGAAGAUGUGUUGAUUACUACUACUGAAAUGGCCUCGAUACCUAAAAAAAUGAAUAUGGAUGUCAUGAUAGAGACAUUUUUGGCUUGGAAAAACAGUACUAAAGAGCAAUUUAAUGAAAAAUCCACUUUGAUGGUAAAUAAUGAGGAAAGUACUUCAAAAGAUAUUUCCACUGAAGAUACUGACAGUACUUUUUCGGACGGAAUUUCUCACAACGGCGAAUUGGAACCAAAAGAAGAUGUGUUGACUUAUAUUUUAAAUAAAUAUUAUAGCUUGAAAAAGGAUGGCCUUAUUAAAAGCGAGACAACUAAAACUGGAUCUGUAAAAGCUUCGCUGAACAGCGUAAUGGAAAGCUAUAAAAACUGGAAGGAAUCAGAAAACCGAACGUAAAAUAAAAAAGGUUUAAGCAUGCAUAAAAUAUAUAACCUAUGAAAAUAUAGUAAACAGAUAAAAAAAGUCAACCUGUUUUGUCGGAAGCGGAAUAUCGAAAAAUAUUUAUUUAAUAUAUUAUAAUCCUUAUAAUACUGCAAAUUUAUGGUUCGUGCAUAGAAUAUAAAAAUAAGCAAAUAAAUAAUAAUUUUGUUUGAAUGUUAAAAAAGUUAUGUUAAUCACUUAUUUAAAUUAAAGAGUAAAGGCUUACAAUGAGUGCGCUCUUUAAAUAUUGAUAUAUGCGAAGCUUUGAUAAAAGAGAAGCUUAAAAAGGGUUCCUUAGUUGUCGGGCACUACGUGCUAAUCAGUUCCGCCGGAUGUGGCUUUUUUCCAGAGAAACUGCAUGGCUUCAUACACAACUUUAAAAUUUCACGUAUAAAGUUAUUCACUCUUGGAAAUACAUUUCAGUCUUAUUUUAAUUGCGCUGGGUGAGAGUUCAUAGCUGUCGACAAACAUGCGAAAAGUCCUGAUAUUUUUUCUACUCGGGGUAGCCUUACAAAGGACCACAGUCGUUAGUGCCCAAGACUCGACCUGCUCUGAUGAGUUUAAACGAAUAACCGGAUUUCUGGAGACACAGCUUCAAUCAUUUGGUGAAACUUUGAACAAUAGAUUGUCGAGUUUUGAAAAUCGACUGACUCAAUCGGAAUGCUCUAGGAAAUCAACGAUUCACAAUGGACGUUACCCGACUUUUGACUAUGGCUCCCGUGUGAAGAGUAUUUUCAAUGACUUUAUCGAGAUCUACGAUGCCAUGAUGGGGGAAAGGAAAGGCGAGAAAGGUGAGAAUUCGGAAAGGAUCACGGAAAAUCCAAAGAGUAUACAGAAUCGACUAAAGGAAACCUUGGAGGACCUUCGCAAGCUCGAUCGGAUUUCGGCGACUGAAAGCACUACUGUGCCUUUUGAUUGGGAAAAGAAUUUAAAACUGAAUAUUUCUGAACUGAUUACAUAUUAUGAUAAUAUGGUUAAGGGUGUUAAUCCCCACUCUGGAAGUUCUUUGGAUAGCCAAGUCUAUACAAGCGAAGAGUUGGAUAAACUCGUACAAUACAUGGAAGAGCAAUAUGACAAGAUGUUGGAAGAUGAAAAAAAAGCUGAACAGGAAAUAACAAGCACUGAGGGUUCAACUGCUCCUGAAAGUACUACUGAUAGCAAUAAUAAUAUUGCAUAUGAAUCGGUAUUGUCUCCUGAUUUUAAUGUAACUGCCCUGAUUGAGCAAUUUAAAAUUUGGAGUGAGGAGAACAAAAUGAAACAGAAACUUAUGGAUAAAGAAUUUAAGGGAAAUAAUGAGGAAACUACUACUGAAAAUACUUCUACGGAAGAUACUUCUACUGAUGUUUCUCCAGAUUACAGCGAGAAGUCUACAAAGUCCGUCGAAACAAGUGAAUGGGUGUUAAUAGAAAGGGUUUAAGAAGGUUUUUUAUAGGAAAGGAGCGAAAUUUGAGGAGAAUAUAUUAAUGAAAUUCCUUGACUAGACUCUAAUCCCAUAGUUGUGAAAAGCUCACAACAAAAUGUGAAGUAAUAAAACUUACUUCUUAAAUAUUUUAUUAGUCUCAUAUAAUACUGCAUUAAAUGUAUGUAAGUCGCGUUUCUAAUAAAGUAAACUUUAAUCAACGCUGCUUAAGGAGCAUGAAAUUCAA